rnacentral:rRNA from 1 species
ACAGAGGGUGCAAGCGUUGUUCGGAAUCAUUGGGCGUAAAGCGCGCGUAGGCGGCUGCGUAAGUUGGAUGUGAAAGCCCUGGGCUCAACCGAGGAAGUGCAUCCAAAACUGCGUAGCUUGAGUGCCGGAGAGGGUGGUAGAAUUCCUGGUGUAGAGGUGAAAUUCGUAGAUAUCAGGAGGAAUACCGGUGGCGAAGGCGACCACCUGGACGGACACUGACGCUGAGGUGCGAAAGCGUGGGGAGCAAACAGG